UACAGAGGGGGCAAGCGUUGUUCGGAAUUACUGGGCGUAAAGGGCGCGUAGGCGGCCUUCUAAGUCGAACGUGAAAUCCCUGGGCUCAACCCAGGAACUGCGUCCGAUACUGGGAGGCUUGAAUCCGGGAGAGGGAUGUGGAAUUCCAGGUGUAGCGGUGAAAUGCGUAGAUAUCUGGAGGAACACCGGUGGCGAAGGCGGCAUCCUGGACCGGUAUUGACGCUGAGGCGCGAAAGCCAGGGGAGCGAACGGG
rnacentral:rRNA from 1 species